UGUCCUCGUCGCAGUCACAGUGGUGACACU
rnacentral:sRNA from 1 species